rnacentral:sRNA from 1 species
GAUUUAACAGUCUAACUGGAGGAUCCAUGUGAAAACACUAACCAAGGCUCUACAACAAUGAGAAGAAUUCACAAAGCAGAGCGAAACGACCAGACUGUCGAUCAACACCACUCUCAGGUGGCAACUCACGUUUUCUAUCUUUUAACUUUUGAUUAUUUCUCUUUCGAUUCGUCUAGCUUAAU